rnacentral:rRNA from 1 species
AUUGAACGCUGGCGGCAUGCCUUACACAUGCAAGUCGAACGGCAGCACGGGAGCAAUCCUGGUGGCGAGUGGCGAACGGGUGAGUAAUAUAUCGGAACGUGCCCGGUCGUGGGGAUAACGUAGCGAAAGCUACGCUAAUACCGCAUACGAUCUACGGAUGAAAGCGGGGGAUCGCAAGACCUCGCGCGAUUGGAGCGGCCGAUAUCAGAUUAGGUAGUUGGUGAGGUAAAGGCUCACCAAGCCGACGAUCUGUAGCUGGUCUGAGAGGACGACCAGCCACACUGGGACUGAGACACGGCCCAGACUCCUACGGAGGCAGCAGUGGGGAAUUUUGGGACAAUGGGCGCAAGCCUGAUCCAGCAAUGCCGCGUGCAGGAUGAAGGCCUUCGGGUU